CAGGUGGUGCAUGGCUGUCGUCAGCUCGUGUCGUGAGAUGUUGGGUUAAGUCCCGCAACGAGCGCAACCCUUGUCAUUAGUUGCCAUCAUUAAGUUGGGCACUCUAAUGAGACUGCCGGUGACAAACCGGAGGAAGGUGGGGAUGACGUCAAGUCAUCAUGCCCCUUAUGACCUGGGCUACACACGUGCUACAAUGGACGGUACAACGAGAAGCGAACCUGCGAAGGCAAGCGGAUCUCUUAAAGCCGUUCUCAGUUCGGACUGUAGGCUGCAACUCGCCUACACGAAGCUGGAAUCGCUAGUAAUCGCGGAUCAGCACGCCGCGGUGAAUACGUUCCCGGGCCUUGUACACACCGCCCGUCACACCAUGAGAGUCUGUAACACCCAAAGCCGGUGGGAUAACCUUUAUAGGAGUCAGCCGUCUAAGGUAGGACAGAUGAUUAGGGUGAAGUCGUAACAAGGUAGCCGUAGGAGAACCUGCGGCUGGAUCACCUC
rnacentral:rRNA from 1 species